rnacentral:rRNA from 1 species
UACGGAGGGUGCGAGCGUUGUCCGGAAUCACUGGGCGUAAAGGGCGCGUAGGCGGCCUGAUAAGUCGGGGGUGAAAUCCUGCGGCUUAACCGCGGGGCUGCCUUCUAAACUGUCAGGCUCGAGCACAGUAGAGGCAGGUGGAAUUCCCGGUGUAGCGGUGGAAUGCGUAGAGAUCGGGAAGAACAUCGGUGGCGAAGGCGGCCUGCUGGGCUGUUGCUGACGCUGAGGCGCGACAGCGUGGGGAGCAAACAGG